UAGGGAAUCUUCCACAAUGGGCGCAAGCCUGAUGGAGCAACACCGCGUGAGUGAAGAAGGUUUUCGGAUCGUAAAACUCUGUUGGUAGAGAAGAACGUUGGUGAGAGUGGAAAGCUCAUCAAGUGACGGUAACUACCCAGAAAGGGACGGCUAACUACGUGCCAA
rnacentral:rRNA from 1 species